CAGUAGCCGCGGUAAUACAGAGGGUGCGAGCGUUAAUCGGAUUUACUGGGCGUAAAGCGUGCGUAGGCGGCUUUUUAAGUCGGAUGUGAAAUCCCUGAGCUUAACUUAGGAAUUGCAUUCGAUACUGGGAAGCUAGAGUAUGGGAGAGGAUGGUAGAAUUCCAGGUGUAGCGGUGAAAUGCGUAGAGAUCUGGAGGAAUACCGAUGGCGAAGGCAGCCAUCUGGCCUAACACUGACGCUGAGGUACGAAAGCAUGGGGAGCAAACAGGAUUAGAGACCCCUGUAGUCCCUGUCUCUUAUAA
rnacentral:rRNA from 1 species